rnacentral:rRNA from 1 species
AGUGAGCGCUGGCGGUAGGCCUAACACAUGCAAGUCGAACGGCAGCACAGUAAGAGCUUGCUCUUACGGGUGGCGAGUGGCGGACGGGUGGGGAAUACAUCGGAAUCUACUUUUUCGUGGGGGGUAACGUAGGGAAACUUACGCUAAUACCGCAUACGACCUACGGGUGAAAGCAGGGGAUCUUCGGACCUUGCGCGAUUGAAUGAGCCGAUGUCGGAUUAGCUAGUUGGCGGGGUAAAGGCCCACCAAGGCGACGAUCCGUAGCUGGUCUGAGAGGAUGAUCAGCCACACUGGAACUGAGACACGGUCCAGACUCCUACGGGAGGCAGCAGUGGGGAAUAUUGGACAAUGGGCGCAAGCCUGAUCCAGCCAUACCGCGUGGGUGAAGAAGGCCUUCGGGUUGUAAAGCCCUUUUGUUGGGAAAGAAAAGCAGCAGGUUAAUACCCCGCUGUUCUGACGGUACCCAAAGAAUAAGCACCGGCUAACUUCGUG